rnacentral:lncRNA from 1 species
CUAAAGCCUAAGAAAGUCAAAAAGUAAAGUAAAUGCUAAUUAAUGUCUACUAUUACAUUUCAAGACUUUUGUAUAAUAAUUCUGUCUCUGUACAGUAUCUUGUCUCCGUUGGUUUUUGUCGUAUUUGCUCCAUUAUUGUUCUGUAUCUGCUCCAUUAUUGCUUCUGUAUCUGCUCCAUUAUUGCUCUUUUAUCUUAUCUUUCCAGCUGGCAUUUUAUCUUCUUUAUUCUAGCUGUACCUCUGGAAUAAUAUUAUCUUCUCCAUUGCACCUCGAACAUUGGUGAUCUGGAUAUUUAUGUCCGAUUAUCUUACAGUAUCUGGUUAGCAGUCCGUCUGAAAUAAAUCCCUUUUUUAUUGCUCGCGCGGUAGAUUGUUUUUCUGGGUUAA